AUUAAAAUUAUUAUUCAAACAGCUUUUUACAUUUAAAUGACCCUUCAAAAAUGUGAGGUUUUCAUUGUUGCAGACAUGGGACACAUUUGUCACAACAUUUUAAGAACGACCAAGCUAGUAAUGUUAAAUGAAUGUAAUUGCGAAUGGCCAACCAUUUAUAUAUUUUUUAGGUGCAGUGAAAUAUGUUGUUUUACAAGGUCAGCCAUAGUAUUACGGCGCCCUUGAAUGUCUUGUUCAAGGGCACAUUGACAGAUGUUUCACCUCGUCGGCUCAGGUAUUCAAACCAGCGACCUUCCGGGUUACUGGCCCAACGUUAACACGUCUGUAAUUUUCGUCCAUCCAAACUGUGCUCAAAAUUCUUAUUGAGGCCUAAACAGGAAUGCAGAAACGACAAGACGCCUGAGCAGAAAUGCAAUAUAAUCUGUGAAAAAAAAAUGUUUUGUUAACGGGAUCUGUGGGGGGAAAAAUGAUUUGUUAACGACAGUGUGUGUUCUAUGCUGUUUCCGAUGUGUUCUUAGAGGCACCGAUGGUUUGGUCAGCAGAGUUACACCAGUUGUACUGGGUCCCUUAUUCUUCUCUGUCGGUGGUUUCUUUGACAGUGGGAGUGGGCUUCAGUCCUACAGCCUGGAGGGAGGAAUAAACAAACACCUUUGGGAGAGAGGAGAGAGAAAGAAAGAAAGAGGGAGAGAAAGGAGACAGACUGCUAGUGAUGGGGGAGGGGAGAGAAGAGAAGGAGAGUCAUGAGACAGGAAAUGUCUGUGUUCCCCUGGGGGAGCGUCAGAGAGAAUCUGCAGGAUAAGAAAAAAAUAAGACAAAAUCCUUGUGUCCAUGACAACUUACAACUCAUCUUCGAUGAAGAGCGAGAUGCUGGCGAAUGUGCCCGAAGGAGCGAAAAGAGAACCACUGAAAUCAAGCGAAAAUCUGAAAGUAAAAUUUGUGUUACUGUGGCGCAAUCAAGGCAAAUGCAAGUGGCAGGCGACACCAUGGAUGUUCGUUGGGGUAGUGUGAAUGGAAAAUCGGUCAUUGUGGGAAGGGUUUGCUAAAUCUGACCCUGGCUGCUACAAGACAAGCAAGUGUGAAAUUCAUAUGAAAGAACCGAAUGGAUAAAAAAUACAUCCUGGAAUGGCAAGAUUCCCCAUGGGCAGGCACCUUCAUUUUGCUAGUAUUGAGAGAGAUGUUGUCUUUACUGGCACCUGAUUUAUCCAAUGAGAUUGCAAUGGGAGCCUCAGCAAAUGGGUGUCAAAUUGGAGGAGAGAAAUCCGUUAAACAAUGGAGUAACGUUUUACUGAAGGUAAGGCAUGUUGCUUUACAUAAUUAAGACAUAUAUUUUCUUAUUUUAUUACAGAACUUGUGGCAUUUUUCAAUAUCGAGCCUGUUCAUCAUGUCUUCAGUCUCAUGGGCCUGCAGCCUAAGACUUGAGCUCUUAUUUAUAAUGAGACACAGAUGUCAGGCAGAUACAGCAUGUCUGUGAGCAGUGCUGCAUGUCCUCCUCUCUAUAGAAUAGCCCAUGGUUUAGGUGUGGUCUUUCAGAUGGUUUUCUUCACCGAGAGAAUAGAGCAUUCUAUUACUAGCACACCACUCUGCUGCUGUUUCUGUAUCUCUUCUGAACAUAUUUCUUGGAAAUGUUACACACACCGCACACUGCUUGCUGUGCAGUCAUGUGUAGACACUCCAUGUCGACACUCCAUGUAAUAACUGCUUAUACCAUGGCAACGUUUGAAUACUUGUUUCUGAUUGGCUUGCAGGGCAUUCCAGAGUGUGCAUUAUUUCCCUAUGGCGCGCGGUAGAAUUUUGAAAACAAAAGUGAAUUGAAAACAUGAAUGGCAUUGUUGAAUUUGAUUUUCAUAAUGGAAAGCUAGGACCGAUGGUUUGGUUAGCUAAACUAAGAAUACUGUUUGGUUACCAUCUAGUAGACUUGCUAGCUACUUGCGUGGAUGCUAAACACAUUUCUAGCAGCAAAUGAACACGUCUAGCGGCAAAUGUCUUAAAUUACAGCCAUGGUAUAGAAGGGACAAUCAACUCAUUGCUCUAUGCGUUCUCUGGAAAAUAAUGCAACUCCGUGGAAGGUCAGUUCCACUCCGCCAGUGUGUCGUUCAUUCGUUUCCAUAGAGUGCAUAGCCUCCUAUCCCUUACAUAAUGAAUACAUGUACAUGUGUCAUAGAGGAGGUGUGAUUAGCGCAGGGGCACUGCACUCCAAGUCACUCUAUGUUGACAGACAAUUCCUCUAGUCAGACAUUCUGUGUCAUUUGAGACCUCUGGCAUGCUGUGUGCCCUUGUGGCUACAACGGUUGAAUAAUAGUGCACUUGAGUGAAACUGCAACUGCUUUAAUGUCUCACAGACGGGACAAACAAAAUAGAAAUGAAACGUUUCAUGUGUGUGUGUGUAUAGUACCCGUUGGGGUGAGCGUACAUCCUCUAAAAGUGGACUUCUAAAUAUUGGCAUGUUGGAGAAAUAAAGAUAAAAAGAAGUGUUAUGGAUGUUAAAUGAAAUGGACACACUUUUUGGGGAGACUGAUGCUACGCAUCCUGAGUGGCACAGCGGUCUAAGGCACUGCAUCGCAGUGCUAGCUGUGUCACUACAGAUCCUGGCUCGAUCCCAGGCUGUGUCGCAGCUGGCUGCGACUAGGAGACCCAAGAGGUGGCUCACAAUUGGCCCAGCAUUGUCCAGGUUAGGCCGGCUUGUCCUUGUCCCAUCGCACCCAGCGACUCCUGUGGCGGGCCGGGCCCAAUGCACGCUGACACGGUCACCAGCUGUACGGUGUGGCUGGCUUCCGGGUUAAGCGAGCAUUGUGUGAAGAAGCAGUGCGGCAAUUGGAUAUCACAAAAA
rnacentral:lncRNA from 1 species